GACGAACGCUGGCGGCGUGCCUAAUACAUGCAAGUCGAACGCAGUGGGGACGGGUGAGUAACACGUGGGUAACCUCCCAUCAGAGGGGAUAACACUUGGAAACAGGUGCUAAACCGAUACUGAUUGAUGGACCCGCGGUGCAUUAGCUAGUGGGUGAGGUAACGGCUCACCAAGGCCACGAUGCAUAGCCGAUCUGAGAGGGUGAUCGGCCACACUGGGACUGAGACACGGCCCAGACUCCUACGGGAGGCAGCAGUAGGGAAUAUUGCGCAAUGGACGAAAGCCUGACGGAGCAACGCUGCGUGAGUGAAGAAGGCUUUCGGAUUGUAAAACACUGUUGGUAGAGAAGCGGUAUCUAAAGAGAAAGCAACGGCUAACUACGUGCCAGCAGCCGCGGUAAUAC
rnacentral:rRNA from 1 species